GGGCGCCAGCAGCAGGCUUAGCCCAAUCAGGGCUCGUUUGCUCCUCCUGGGUUUGCCAGGGAGGCAACUACUGUCUAACUCUCUUUAAGCCUCUGGCCUGUACUUUCCGCAUUCUGGGAUCCAGGCCGUGUCGUAGCGGCUCCCGGUCCCUCAUUCCCUCCCGUUCAUUUCCCUUCAGAUGCUCACCUGGCUGGAACACAUCAAGCCCAGGCUGAGCUUUGUGUGUAGAUGGGCUCUCUAGUUUUAGUAGCUGACCUGUUUCAUCCUUCUGUCCCCAGUCUAGAGUUUCCGCACUCCCGUUGUGUUAGGUCUCGUAUUGGGCAGAGGGCUCGGCUUCUGACCCCUGCUCUGCUCACAGAUUCCUGGGCAGCGAUUCCCACGACUCCUACUUCUCCAACACGCAGAGGCACCUCGUGGUGAGACAACUGCCUGGGGAGGGUCCAGCUGGACCUUAAGGGGGCGGAGCUGACGCCAGGAUUCUCCCUGGCAAGUGGCAGAGAUCCUGACCCGCACAGUCCACGGGAAGCAGAAACGCACAGAGAUGGGCAUUGCCCAUCUGCUAGCCAAGGGAGUCUAUACUGCAGCCUUCCCACUGCAUGAGGGAAGAGAUCUGUGCCAGCGGGGGUGCCUUCCUCAUGUGCCCACACCAUGACACCCGUGCCAUGUGGAAUAUUUCCAAGAUCUGCCCCAUGGCCAAGGGCCUGUGUUCUUCAGCAUCUUCAUGUCCUUCUGGGCCAUGGCCUUCCUGGAGCACUGGAAGCACAAGAGCAUCACCUUGGUCCAUCACUGGGACUGCAGUGACUUCCAGGAAGAGGAGGUGAUGCCCAGCUCAGCCCUCCAGGCCCAGAACUCCACUUCCCAGAGUUCUCAGAGGC